UGCCAACAUUCCAACAUACCUCACAUUCUUCUCUACACUAAAGAGCACAUUUUGGUUUCGGAGCUCGGCUCAAAGGCCAGUGCUGCUGUAGUCUGACUAAGGCCCCCAAAUGAAACUCCGUCAUGUCAUCAGGUACCAUGAAUCAAAAACUACAAGUACAACUCAAAAGAACAAAUAGCAUCGACGGACACUGGGUCACCUUCCAGAGGCAGCAAGUCUGGCCCGUCCAGUCAUCCAACAGAGUUCCUUUAAGAAGAAGCCUUCCUGACUCUCACCCUCCUCCUCCUCCACUUGGUUGCAGUCCUUAGUCCUCACAUGUCCACUUCUUUUUCUUUUUACAAUCCACCACAAAACACAAGCCCAGCAUUAAGCUUUAGAGCACUGGACUAGACUAUCCAUCACAGAAGUUGAAUCACACACAUCAAGACAAGCUUUUGAUUCUGACUGUCACGUCCAGAUGUGUCUCCUGUGUGACCGGACAGCUGCCUCAUACAUGGAUACCGACUAAGGAUUCAGUUCCUCCUGUCCUUCAUAGCUUGAAUUCUGAUCUCUGCACCACUCGCAUAUCCACCCUCAGCCUCUGCCAUGGUCAUCCUGGACAAGUUAAUGGAUCCCACUAGAUCAAAAACUCAGCACAAGGAAUGGAAGAGGAAAUUUAUAGCUUUGAGUGGAGGGCAAACGGGGGACAACAUAACGACAAGCACUCUGGGGAAGUGGACAAAGUCAGCAAUGGAGAAAAUAACUAAGGGUGUACCGCUGCCGCCCUGGGAGAACAACUAAACCCUGGGAUGCUGCACGGUCAGAAAACCAUUAGGGAAAAGCAGUUUGCUAUUAAAAAUCUUUUGGGGUAACGUGACCAACGCUCAUCCUUAUAUUUGAGCCCUUACCACAUGCCCCAGAACAGCAUCAGACAAUAAGCAAUACCAUGAUGAAGAAGACAAAAAAUAUAUACAUAUAGACAGAAAAAUAAAACAAGUACCUAACAAGAAUCAAAAACAACCUUCCACAGAUUAGGGGGCGAGAUGUUCUCACCUAAGAUAAACCGGAUUCCCCAAUUUGGUUUUCUGUCCUUACAGUUCCUGAGCAAGAUGGAAAGUGGAAGCCUCAAGAAGUAAACCAGCCGCCGAGCCAAUAAGAAAAAAGGUUCUGUCCUACCGAACCCAAAGAGUCGAAUGCCCUGGAGAAACCAAAAAAGUUCAUAGACGCGUCACCCUUGUAUCACCGAGUGAGAAAAAAAACUUCUUCCAGCAGGUGGAUUCUUGGCGCUGACUCGUUGCUUCUCCUUGCCCCACCACACGAUGUCUCCCUCUCUCUCUCCUCCUUCUUUUCCGGUUAGAAGUCCUCAGCACCAAUCGUCCUAUCCGUGUUGUGACCUCCUCCCAUAAAGGUGUAUUAUCAGUAACCCAUUUCUUAAAGUGCACCCUAAGGAGCUGCAAACUGACAACGGGACAAUAGCACAUGUGGCACCCACUACAAGGGUCCAGAGGGUUCUGGUUGUGAAUACUUUAUCUUUGCUUUCUUGUAUGUCUUCAGCAAAAAUAAAAACAAGAGAUUAUGCAGAU